GUGCCAGCAGCCGCGGUAAUACGUAGGGGGCGAGCGUUGUCCGGAAUUAUUGGGCGUAAAGCGCGCGCAGGCGGUCCUUUAAGUCUGAUGUGAAAGCCCACGGCUCAACCGUGGAGGGUCAUUGGAAACUGGGGGACUUGAGUGCAGGAGAGGAGAGCGGAAUUCCACGUGUAGCGGUGAAAUGCGUAGAGAUGUGGAGGAACACCAGUGGCGAAGGCGGCUCUCUGGCCUGUAACUGACGCUGAGGCGCGAAAGCGUGGGGAGCAAACAGGAUUAGAUACCCUGGUAGUCCACGCCGUAAACGAUGAGUGCUAAGUGUUAGAGGGGUCACACCCUUUAGUGCUGCAGCUAACGCUGAUAAUGCACUCCGCCUGGGGAGUACGGUCGCAAGCUGAAACUCAAAGGAAUUGACGG
rnacentral:rRNA from 1 species